rnacentral:rRNA from 1 species
GACGAACGCUGGCGGCGUGCUUAACACAUGCAAGUCGAACGGAAAGGCCCUGCUUUUGUGGGGUGCUCGAGUGGCGAACGGGUGAGUAACACGUGAGUAACCUGCCCUUGACUUUGGGAUAACUUCAGGAAACUGGGGCUAAUACCGGAUAGGAGCUCCUGCUGCAUGGUGGGGGUUGGAAAGUUUCGGCGGUUGGGGAUGGACUCGCGGCUUAUCAGCUUGUUGGUGGGGUAGUGGCUUACCAAGGCUUUGACGGGUAGCCGGCCUGAGAGGGUGACCGGCCACAUUGGGACUGAGAUACGGCCCAGACUCCUACGGGAGGCAGCAGUGGGGAAUAUUGCACAAUGGGCGGAAGCCUGAUGCAGCAACGCCGCGUGCGGGAUGACGGCCUUCGGGUUGUAAACCGCUUUCGCCUGUGACGAAGCGUGAGUGACGGUAAUGGGUAAAGAAGCACCGGCUAACUACGUGCCAGCAGCCGCGGUGAUACGUAGGGUGCGAGCGUUGUCCGGAUUUAUUGGGCGUAAAGGGCUCGUAGGUGGUUGAUCGCGUCGGAAGUGUAAUCUUGGGGCUUAACCCUGAGCGUGCUUUCGAUACGGGUUGACUUGAGGAAGGUAGGGGAGAAUGGAAUUCCUGGUGGAGCGGUGGAAUGCGCAGAUAUCAGGAGGAACACCAGUGGCGAAGGCGGUUCUCUGGGCCUUUCCUGACGCUGAGGAGCGAAAGCGUGGGGAGCGAACAGGCUUAGAUACCCUGGUAGUCCACGCUGUAAACGGUGGGUACUAGGUGUGGGGUCCAUUCCACGGGUUCCGUGCCGUAGCUAACGCUUUAAGUACCCCGCCUGGGGAGUACGGCCGCAAGGCUAAAACUCAAAGGAAUUGACGGGGUCCCGCACAAGCGGCGGAGCAUGCGGAUUAAUUCGAUGCAACGCGUAGAACCUUACCUGGGUUUGACAUGGAUCGGGAGCGCUCAGAGAUGGGUGUGCCUCUUUUGGGGUCGGUUCACAGGUGGUGCAUGGCUGUCGUCAGCUCGUGUCGUGAGAUGUUGGGUUAAGUCCCGCAACGAGCGCAACCCUUGUUCACUGUUGCCAGCACGUUAUGGUAGGGACUCAGUGGAGACCGCCGGGGUCAACUCGGAGGAAGGUGGGGAUGACGUCAAGUCAUCAUGCCCCUUAUGUCCAGGGCUUCACGCAUGCUACAAUGGCUGGUACAGAGAGUGGCGAGCCUGUGAGGGUGAGCGAAUCUCGGAAAGCCGGUCUCAGUUCGGAUUGGGGUCUGCAACUCGACCUCAUGAAGUCGGAGUCGCUAGUAAUCGCAGAUCAGCAACGCUGCGGUGAAUACGUUCCCGGGGCUUGUACACACCGCCCGUCAAGUCAUGAAAGUUGGUAACACCCGAAGCCGGUGGCCUAACCGUUGUGGGGGAGCCGUCGAAGGUGGGACUGGUGAUUAGGACU